AACGAACGCUGGCGGCAUGCCUAACGCAUGCAAGUCGAACGAGACCUUCGGGUCUAGUGGCGCACGGGUGCGUAACGCGUGGGAACCUGCCCUUAGGUUCGGAAUAACUCCCCGAAAGGGGUGCUAAUACCGGAUAAUGUCUUCGGACCAAAGAUUUAUCGCCUUUGGAUGGGCCCGCGUUGGAUUAGCUAGUUGGUAGGGUAAAAGCCUACCAAGGCGACGAUCCAUAGCUGGUCUGAGAGGAUGAUCAGCCACACUGGGACUGAGACACGGCCCAGACUCCUACGGGAGGCAGCAGUGGGGAAUAUUGGACAAUGGGCGAAAGCCUGAUCCAGCAAUGCCGCGUGAGUGAUGAAGGCCUUAGGGUUGUAAAGCUCUUUUACCCGGGAUGAUAAUGACAGUACCGGGAGAAUAAGCGCCGGCUAACUCCGUG
rnacentral:rRNA from 1 species